CACACAGACACACCAACAGCCUCUCCCUGGUGUUGUGGUUCAUUAAAAACAGAAUUGUUCAUUCCUCAAAACCCUGAAGUUAGAUUCUAAUGAUUAUCCUCAUUGACUCAAAAUGUCUGUCACACACAUACACACACACUGAGGCUUCUGCUGCAUCUGUUAUUUUAGUCAAUAAUUUAUUUAUGGCUGAUGCUGAGUUUUAGGUCUCUAAGCUGCAGACGCUCGUCAUGUGACCUGUCAAUAGGCAGGAAGUAUUUGUUUCAUCGAUGCAGCAAGUGUUUGUUUCAUCGAUGCAGGACAGCUGGUCACUCUGCAGGGUGUGUGUGUGUGUGUGUGUGUGUGUGUGUGUGUGUGUGUGUGUGUGUGUGUGUGUGUGUGUGUGUGUGUGUGUGUGUGUGUGUGUGUGUGUGUGUGUGUGUGUGUGUGUGUGUGUGUGUGUGUGUGUGUGUGUGUGUGUGUGUGUGUGUGUGUGUGUGUGUGUGUGUGUGUGUGUGUGUGAGUCGUCGCCUGCUGAGGUAAGGGAGACUACAUAUCCCAUCAGGCCUUGGGAUCAUCCGGGAGGAGCUGUGAAGCGAAUAGUUUGUUCAAUUGUUGUUUUUUUUAAGCUGUUUUCAGACAUGAAGUUUGGAGAAUGUCCGGAGAUUUGACUCUGAAGGGGCGGAAUUUAUACAUGUGGUGUAUAAGUUCAGUUUCUCUGUUUUUAUCAACUAAUGAUUCUUAGAUGAUGAUGAUUUUAUCACCUGCAGAGUUUUAGAGUCUCAGUUAAGUGUGUGUGUCACGAACGUGGAUAAUUGUCUUUUUCGUGAGUAAUUGUCUUUGUCAAGGACGUGACGGUGAUAAAAUAUGACAAAGUGUCACAUCUCAGAACAACAGCUGUGUCGUUAGCUCACUGUCAUUACCCAUCAUGCCUCACUGUCAUUACCCAUCAUGCCCCUGGGGAACAGUGGUUGGCGAAGGGCAGAUAAGUUUAGAUUCAACCUCAAACACCUGUUUCUAUAUUUUACAGCAGGAAACUUUCUGAACACUUUUGCCUUUAGAAGUUCUUGUCUGACUGAUUUAAUUUAAGCAAGUGACGUUAUGUGAUCCAUAAGAAAUAAUAAGCACAUGUCAAUCAUAAACUCGUCCAGCUCUUUGGCGCCAGUCAGUCUCGUCGUCGCUGUGAUAUUUUCACCUCCUCUGCGGCUGAAAGAGUGAAAGUUCAUACUUGACAUGUCUUCACAAUGUUACAUGGUAACAUUUCUUUCUGCAUUAUUUAGUCUAUCUCAUUCCUUUUAAUAUCUGUAAUUUUUCAAACAGGCCAUGAGAUUCAUGUUGAAGGACUCACCUGCAGGACGGUCCUGACAGGUACAGUACUAAUAAGAGAGAGUGUGUGUGAGUGUAUCGCGUCUCUCUGCUGCUGCCUCUCACACAGUAACACACAGGACCCAACAUUUCCUUCCAAGUGUUUGUGCCUCAGUAAAUUUGCCACAUUUGCAUUUUUAUGAUUUUCCCUCUCAGCAGCGACGCAGAUGAAUGUGUAUUUAUGUUUUUUUUAUAUUUAUGUAUUCAUGUGUUUGCGCGUCUCAUCGUUGGAUUAGUGCUUUAUCAUCCUCACUCUUCACCUCUCCUCUUUUCUUCUCUCCUCCUUUGUCUCUCUCUCUCUUUCUGCCUCGGCAGCUUUUUCCUUCUCACUCGUCCGCUCGGUGGUGAUGUCAUGAUGUGGUGAAUGUCAGCAGCGCUUUGUUACUACCCAUAAUCCCUCGCUGCACGUUGAGCUAUGGGUGUUUUGGGAUUUGGUUUCAGAAUCUCAUCACAGUUUUUGUCACAUCUGCACAGAAGUAUUAUGAUGAAUCGUGUGUGCGUGUGCUUGAAUAAAACGUUCAUAGAAUACAGUCUGGUUGAUUUAAGAAGUUUCAAAACAGGGAAACUUGACUAACGGACGGUGAAGCUGAGAGCUGAUGGAGAUUUGAGGUUUAAAAAAAAAUCUGCUUCGAGGUAAAAAAAAACCCAUAAAACUUUGAAGAUGUUUAGAGUCGGAACUAAUGAGACGAACUGCAGCUGCAGGAGAAUCCGAUCUGAGAUCAGACUAAUGAGACUGAAACAGGACGAGUCUUUUCAGAGUGAGUAGACGAAGCUGAAGCUCUGUCUCCAUGACGACAACGAACCUGGGACAUCACCUUCUGCAGCAGUGUCAUGGCCGCUGUCCAAGGUGCUGAUCCUGGGACGCGCCGGAGGCCGGAGCUGUCCGUGGUGCUGUGACGGAACAAGGGAUGAAACAUCUGCUGCUGCUGCAGUAAAUCUGUCUCAGAGAAACGGGAUCAGAGGCGUUCUGCUCCGUCUGCGUCGUCAGGGUGAAGCUGUGAGAUCAGAUCAGGAGAUUCCACAUGUUGAGGGAAACGUCUGGUUAAUACGUGAGAGGAGUGCGUGGCCUCGUCCCCCGACUCUUGUUGCCAGAACCACUGAUGGGAAUAAUCACAUCAUCAGACGGAGGAGAGUCCGGUUCACUCGGGGAGAGAAAAGGUGACGGUGGGAAAAAAUACACAAUACAUCCAUCAAUUUUCUUUUUUCUUCUGCUCCUCCGAGGCCGCGGGAUGUUCCAGAUGUGAUCCGAAGGUGUUUCCAUGACCGAUGGGAACGCUGCUCCCUGUCGCCCCCAGACGUCCGGACCACCUCAACUGACUCCUGUCGACACGACGGAGCAGCAGCUCUUCUCGGAACUCCUCAACAGAUUUCCAGUAAAUUAAGUAACCAACCUUGGAGGAGUGGGGGGCGUGGCCUGACUGACACCUGUGACCUUCACCGAUUGGACAGUACCAGCCAUCAAUCACACUGUAUCCACGACCCCAAUAGACCCGGUGCUUUAUGGUUUAUGUGACUGUAAAUGGACCAUAAUGUACAACAAAUAAACUUAUCAGCAAAAUCAAUGGAGUCGCCCACUGCUGGUCAGUACGAAGAACACAGGCUUCACUUCACUGGACCUUGAGACCACGUCACAUCUUAUAAAUAGUUUAUGACCUGAUCAUAAUGAAAAUGUGAAUGACUUUGUCCCAAAAAUCUCAACAAUGAUCCACAAGGGCACUGACAAAAAUACACACAUACACACAUUGGUCAUAGACACAGCUGAAACCCCCAACACACACACACACGUCACGUCAGGUCACGUCAAGUCUCACCUUGUGAAUCUCUUUUCGGUCUCUGUACUUUGUGUCCUUUUUCCAAGUAAAGUUUUUCUUGUGCCCAUUUUCUCAGAACUGUGACACAGGUUGUGUGUGUGUGUGUAUGAUGGAUGUGUUAUCUAAUUCAGAAAUUAGAUUGGUGCCAUCCAACCAGUGAAGUACUGAAGGAGAACAUCUUUAAACAAACACGCACACACUCACACUGAGUAAAAAACCUCUCUCCUCUGAUAAUAGAGUCGUCCCUCACAGCCCACAGCUGCAGUGUUCACACAUGAACCAGUGUGUGUGUGUGUGUGUGUGAGAGAGAGAGAGAGAGAGAGAGAGGUUUUAUUUCUGCAGCACGACGUCAGUUCAAUAAGAACAAAUUAUCCAGCUUGGAUAACUUGGCAGUUUGCAGUGUUUUCACUUCCCCCUCAUUAAAAAAACCUUCAGUCUCCUCAUCAGCACCAGAAACUGUUCAUCAACGUCUUCAUCAACCACCGACUCAACAAGUCAACGUCUCGGUGAUUCUGCCUCAUUACAUCAACAUGCUGAGUUCACAAAGAAAAACAACAUUGUGAUAAGUCAACAUUUUUUAAUUUCAUCUUCCUCAUAUUCUCUCUCCACAGACGCCGGACGGACCUGAAGCUCCGCCCACCCCCUCGAUGUGAGUCACUGACCUGGAAGGAAAAUAUGAGGUAGGUAUUCCGACGUGUCACGUUAACGUGGAGAUUCCACAGGUGAAGAUGUGACUGAUGUCCCAAAAGGAAAAGUAAAAUAAAUAAUCAUGGCAGAAGAUUAAUAUGUACAUGAAAACCCUUCAUCCCUAAUGCUCUCUGAUUCCAGGAGCAUCACUAACUGUAAAAAAUCAUAUUUUCCGUGUCACCGUGUGACAUGAACAGAAAUCACCAUUUUAAUCACUUCACGUUAUCGUUAAUCUUCCGACAACAUGUUGACAAAUUAAAUCCUCAUCUGAUUGCAGGAGGAUCAGGGAUUUAAACCUCAGGCUUUUCUCUUUCGCUCCUUUGAGAAUCACUUUAAACUUUAAAAAACUGUUCCAUCAUAUUUAAUACAAAUCUUUUGAAGAAGCUCUGAUGUGACAAACUUAUCUUUCUUUAUAUUUUGCUACUUGCAAUUGGACAAUAAACCUGAUCAGAAAAUAACUAAAACUUUGUUAUGAAUCAAAUUUUGACAAUUGUUUUUCAUGUGUUUUUACUUUGAUAUCUGCUCAGUGCAGCUGAAGCAUGAUUUUAUGAAUGAUGAUUGAUUCUGAUCAUUACUCCCUCUGUGCAAUGUUCUCCCAAUGCUCCGCGUUCACGGGAAUAUAGAUUUCAUGCUUCGGCGGAGAUGUUUGUUUAUCUUGUCGAAAGGACUUCAGGUCAACGUUUGAGUCCGUCUAAAAAUACUUUCUAAUGGAUCCAUCAGAACUGGGACUGAACAACACACACACACACACUCACACACACACACUCACACACACACACACUCACACACACACUCUCACACUCUCCAGCUCCUUGAUUUUCAUUUGUUUCCUGACGUGUUAAAUGUUGUACAUCUCUAAUUGUGCAUUUUUCCAUUUCUCUUAGAAAUCCAGGAGAGUGUGUGUGUGUGU